UUAAGUUGUUAGUUCUCCUUUAUUGGGGUAGGUAGCAGAGCAUGAGAGGAGUAGAACAGGAGGAAGGCAGAAUUGAGACCUUUCAAAGUUUUGGCCCAAGCAAGGGGGCAUGGGGGCAUGUGAUGGGGCAGCACCGCCCCACACCAGCCCCAGCAGCAUUGGGCCGGUAGCACUGAUGGCAGAAGUCCAAAAAGUCAACACCAUCUCCCGCUUCGACACAUACCCGAUGCCGCAGGUGGAUGAACUGCUGGAAUGGCUCAGGGGAGUGAGGUACUUGUCAACCAUAGACCUAACCAAGGGAUACUGGCAGAUCCCCCUCACACCAAACUCCCGGGAGAAGAUGGCCUUCCCAAUGCCUUUCGGCCUCUUCCAAUUUAUAAUCAUGCCAUUCAGGGUACACAGAACCGCUGCUACAUUCCAGCAGCUGAUGAAUAAGGUCUUACAAUCCCAUGACCAGUAUGCGGCGGCGUAUAUAGAUGACAUCGUAGUCUAUAGCAACAACUGGGAGGACCACCUACGCCAUCUGGCUGAGGUGUUGCAGGCCCUCAGAACAGCCAGCCUCACAGCUAACCCGGCAAAGUACCACCUCGGGCAAGAAGAGGUAACCUAUCUUGAAUAUACGGUGUGGGGGGGAAACUGAAGCCCCAUAUCAGCAAAGUGCAAACCUCAGACGUACCUGUCCCCAAGACGAAGAAGCAGGUGUGCCAUUUUUCGGCCAGAUUUUGCAUCUAUAGCCGCCCCCCUAUCGGACCUGACAAAGAACUCGCAGCCUCGACAAGUGCAGUGGUCGGAACAGUGCAAGGAAGCCUUCGAAACUCUGAAAGAAUGACUUAUGCAAGAACCAGUCCUGCGAUACCCAGACUUCUCAAAAGAAUUUAUACUUCAAACAGAUGCCUCGGAGGUAGGCUUGGGGGCCGUACUCUCCCAGGAAUUAGGCAGGGACGAACACCCAAUACUGUAUCUAAGUUGUAAACUGUUGCCCCAGGAACAUUAUUCCACAAUAGAAAAAGAUGCCCUGGCGGUGAGAUGGGCCAUUGAUGCCCUAUGUUAUUAUCUGCUGGGGAAUAACUUCAGGUUGAUCACAGACCAUGUCCCCCUACGGUGGAUGCAUAGUAUGAAGGACACAACCCCCCAGAUUAUGCAAUGGUACCUCUCCCUCCAACCCUAUGACUUCCACGUGUUUCGUCGCCCGGGUAAGGCCCACGCUAGACAGAGUGAGGGGGGAGAGGAGGUGGACCAACCUGGAGGAUCCUUCUUAAGGGGGCGGGUGUAUGACGGGGCAGCACCGCCCCACACCAGCCCCAGGAGCGUCGGGCCGGUAGCACUGAUGGUGAAAGUCUCACCCUGUUCGUAUUGGGCAUGCUCCAAGUGCUCUGGGAGUAUAAAAGGAGGGAGCCCAGCUCAAUCUGGACUCAAUCAGGUGCAGGGGAAGCACCUGACCGGGAAGCUCCUGCGGAGGACCAGCCACCGGCUGUGGAGGCGCCGGGGACUGAAGCCUCUCCAGGCCAGCUCGAAGCCAUACUACAGGAGGAACCCAGGGAGGCAGCUGACCCGGAAGCCCACAGGGAACCUAGGGACUCGUGGGAGACCUCAACGCUCAAGCCGGUAGGAAGCGACCCGGGGUGUGUGUAUGUGUGUGUGACGGACUGGUACCUUGCCCCUGGCAAGACUCAGCAUGUUUUGGUGGGACCCCCGAGCUGAUCCAGAGGCAAGGUCCUAUGCCGCAGUUAGGGCUGGAGGCUGGGACCCGGGGGAGUGGGAGAGCCUCUGGCCACUAGGCCGCCCUGCCCUGCAACCAGGGGCAACUCUAUGGACUCUGGCCACUAGGCCGCAUUGCCCUGCAACCCGAGGCGACUCUAUGGACUCUGGCCACUAGGCCGCAUUACCUGGUAACCAGAGGCACAAACCCUCACAGGGCGUCAUUUGAGCUCCCUGCCUCAGGUGCCAAAAUGUUGUGGGCCAGCCCUGCCUACGCUACUCAGAAUUUGCAAACCACAAAACGAACAAUACCUUUUUUUUGUGUGUGCUAACUAUAGAUUUCCCCCCGAUUUCAUUCCCCAUGACUCAUGGCCUCUCCGAAUUCAGCGGCUAGUGACCUGGUUCAACGAAUCCACCACAUUCAAGAACUAAGGGGGCACCUCGAGAACCCUAGGAAGGACUUCAAAUAGUAUGGAGACUGCCAAUGACAGCAGGGGCCAGUCUUUUCAGUAGGGAAACUGUUUGUUGAAGGGAGGUACCAAGCCCUUGGCACUGACAAAUCCCUAAGCCCCGUCUAUGGCAGCAGUUCCUGCCCCAUCCUCCUUCCUUGACCUUUUGAUCCCAUCCUCCUCCCUUGGCUGUAGGGAGCAAACUCUGGGUCCCAUCCCUCACCCUGGCACAAUCCACCCCCAGAGUGUCUGAGCCCCUCGCCAACAAUGGGACUGUGUUCCCUUCACCCCCUGCAGGGGAGGAAACUAUUACCCCCAUUUUACAGACAAGGAAUGAAGGUGAUGAAGUGACCUCUCCGAGGUCACACCUACAAACAUGUGGUAGAUCUGGGAACUGGACUGGAUUCCACUGGACUGGAUUCCACAGGGGCAGCUUCACUUCCUGCCCUUCAUUCUCCCCUCCCCUCUGUGCCCUUCUUCUAUGGGGUCUCCGAACAGGAAAUGAACAGGCGCUUUCUCCCCUCUCUGUCUUCCAGGCUCAGGGAUCUGUUCCUGCCUCCUAAAUCAAUGCAGCCUGCAGCUGGCCCAGCUUGGGGAUCAAUGACCUCAUCCUGUCAAACCAAGAAGAGCAGGCUCUCAGCAAUGCUUAGAUAGAAAACCCUACUCCCCUCACAGAACUAGGAACCACUCAUUCAUCUGGGUGAUUGCUGCUCUUGGGACAAAGAUCAGGUUUCUGGUACAUAGCCUUGCUUAGAACAUCCCUUAUUCCUGGAUCCCAGCCCUCGGACUCCGAUGUUGUUCUCAUUUUGCUGUGUUGAUUUUAGUCCUAGGAAAAGCAUCCCCAAAGGAGAUGUAUAAGGAUCCUGGACUCUAUUGCCUGCAAGACACUGCAGUCACCUUCACAGGUAGAGGUCACUGUCUCUCAUACAAUUUCAUCAGUGCCCUUUCUGCUCUCCAUCUCUGCUCCCUCCAGCGGGGCAGAGAUGCCCCUUAAUUCCUAGAGUCCUGAUUUCCUGCCAUUCCAGAGGCUCAGGGCUUGUAUUACCCCACCCUAACCAUCAGAUACUUUUCCUAUGGGAAUCUCACUUGAGCAGAGAAGCAAUCUCCUCUUCUCUUAGAACCAGUCUUCUCAGUAAAUCCAUCCACAGUGACCUCAUCUUAGCUGCUUUGUUUAUCCAAGAUGAGGAAUAUCUUUUGAUAACCCUUAGCAUGGGGGUGUGGGGUGGAGCAGGGGAGACUGGAGCUCCAGCAGAUUCCCCUGAAGAACCCCACCCUGUCUUUCUGUGGUCACGGUGUAGGGCUCUCCAUCCAUCGUGGAGGUGAAGACCAGAUAGGAGUUGAUGGAUUGACCUAGAUAUGUCAUGUCCUUGUGUGGAUGAGGGAACAACAUCACAGAGGUGGACAGCAGCAGAUGUACCACACGUGACCAGGAAUGGGCUAAACAACCUACAAUGACAAGAGCCGAGAUGGAACAGUGAAGAGUUCUCCUAGACCUAGAAAGGGCUCUUAUUUCAACUCUGUUCUGGUUCUAAGUCCUGUGCUUGGACCACACUCCAGUGCAACAGUCCAUAAAUUAACAUCCAACUUGAACAACAACCAGCCAGCACUUCCGCAUCCUGGCCUGGAGCAGAAAACUGAGGAUCUUGCAGGAGCUUCCUCAGGGUUUCUGUUCCCCCGGAUCAUCGGCCACCUAGCAGAAUGCGAAAGAGACGAGUGGUGAUGGGCUAGAGGAGUCAGUGUGGCUGUGCAGCAGGUGCAGUGCCUGCAGUCACCAUGGGCCAAACCCUGCACCCCAGACAACCCAGGUUAAGUUCCCAUCUGAUUACAAAGGGGAUGUUGGCUUGGGGAAUUGGUUGCUGGUGCCUGUCCCCAUAGACAGAGACUGAGAUGUUUCCAUGAGGCAACUCAAUGGUACAUGUAGCUCCAUUCAAACAAGUGACGAAUGUACGUUAAAGAGCAAAGCUGGGACAUCUGCAGAGCUGCUAAAGUCACAGCGAGAAGAGAGAUAAGAGGAAACUUGCUAAGAUGGCUGGCAACAGCGCUGAGAAAAAGGAGUUUGGCAGCUAGUUCAUUGGAAAUAAAUAUAUAGGAAAUAAAUAUUGAGGGCUUUUU